CCCGAGGAAAAGAAAUCAACCGAGAUUCCCCCAGUAGCGGCGAGCGAACGGGGAGCAGCCCAGAGCCUGAAUCAGUGUGUGUGUUAGUGGAAGCGUCUGGAAAGGCGCGCGAUACAGGGUGACAGCCCCGUACACAAAAAUGCACAUGCUGUGAGCUCGAUGAGUAGGGCGGGACACGUGGUAUCCUGUCUGAAUAUGGGGGGACCAUCCUCCAAGGCUAAAUACUCCUGACUGACCGAUAGUGAACCAGUACCGUGAGGGAAAGGCGAAAAGAACCCCGGCGAGGGGAGUGAAAAAGAACCUGAAACCGUGUACGUACAAGCAGUGGGAGCACGCUUAGGCGUGUGACUGCGUACCUUUUGUAUAAUGGGUCAGCGACUUAUAUUCUGUAGCAAGGUUAACCGAAUAGGGGAGCCGAAGGGAAACCGAGUCUUAACUGGGCGUUAAGUUGCAGGGUAUAGACCCGAAACCCGGUGAUCUAGCCAUGGGCAGGUUGAAGGUUGGGUAACACUAACUGGAGGACCGAACCGACUAAUGUUGAAAAAUUAGCGGAUGACUUGUGGCUGGGGGUGAAAGGCCAAUCAA
rnacentral:rRNA from 1 species